GAUGAACGCUGGCGGCGUGCCUAAUACAUGCAAGUCGAGCGAACAGAUGAGGAGCUUGCUCCUCUGACGUUAGCGGCGGACGGGUGAGUAACACGUGGAUAACCUACCUAUAAGACUGGGAUAACUUCGGGAAACCGGAGCUAAUACCGGAUAAUAUAUUGAACCGCAUGGUUCAAUAGUGAAAGACGGUUUUGCUGUCACUUAUAGAUGGAUCCGCGCCGCAUUAGCUAGUUGGUAAGGUAACGGCUUACCAAGGCAACGAUGCGUAGCCGACCUGAGAGGGUGAUCGGCCACACUGGAACUGAGACACGGUCCAGACUCCUACGGGAGGCAGCAGUAGGGAAUCUUCCGCAAUGGGCGAAAGCCUGACGGAGCAACGCCGCGGGAGUGAUGAAGGUCUUCGGAUCGUAAAACUCUGUUAUUAGGGAAGAACAAAUGUUUAAGUAACUAGGCACGUCUUGACGGUACCUAAUCAGAAAGCCACGGCUAACUACGUG
rnacentral:rRNA from 1 species